AUUGAACGCUGGCGGCAUGCCUUACACAUGCAAGUCGAACGGCAGCACGGGAGCAAUCCUGGUGGCGAGUGGCGAACGGGUGAGUAAUAUAUCGGAACGUGCCCGGUCGUGGGGAUAACGUAGCGAAAGCUACGCUAAUACCGCAUACGAUCUACGGAUGAAAGCGGGGGGAUCGCAAGACCUCGCGCGAUUGGAGCGGCCGAUAUCAGAUUAGGUAGUUGGUGAGGUAAAGGCUCACCAAGCCGACGAUCUGUAGCUGGUCUGAGAGGACGACCAGCCACACUGGGACUGAGACACGGCCCAGACUCCUACGGGAGGCAGCAGUGGGGAAUAUUGGACAAUGGGCGAAAGCCUGAUCCAGCAAUGCCGCGUGAGUGAUGAAGG
rnacentral:rRNA from 1 species